GCCAGCACAGCACCGGGAGUGCCCGGGGGUGGCUCUGCUCUGGGCAGCUCCCACGGGCAGCACCCACUGCCCAUCACCUCCCCAAAUUCUGGGAAUAGCCCCCAGCUCCCAUUCCCCACCCAUGGGCUCCAUGGGGAGCUCUGCCAGGACUGCUGGCACUGGUCCUGCAGUCACACACCACUCCUGGGGCUCCUGGGAACCGGACAGGAACAAAACAGAGAGCAGAUUCAUUCCACACUAACAAAAAAACGGAGCCGAGAAACUCCAAAAAACCCCAACCCCCAACCUUGCAGAGCUGUUAAAAACCCACUAAAAGGUGUUUAAAGUGCUGUUCUGUUCUGCUCUCUGAUGAGGUGAGGCAGGGGCAGACACAUUUCUAAUAGAGGUGUGUAUUUCCAACAUCCACGUGCAGCAAGGCAAGGAGGCUCUGCACCUUUGGUUAGCUCGGUGAUGUUUGGUGUGCCCAGCAGAAAUGGACAAUUCUGUGCUGUGAAGGUGCACAGACAGAGACAAUUCUGUGCUCUGAAGGUGCACAAACUGAGACAAUUCUGUGCUGUGAAGGCACACAAACAGAUAUUUCUGUGCUAUGAGGGCACACAAACUGAGACAAUUCUGUGCUGUGAAGGUGCACAGACUGAGACAAUUCUGUGCUGUGAAGGUGCACAAACUGAGACAAUUCUGUGCUAUGAAGGCACACAAACUGAGACAUUUCUGUGCUGUGAGGGCACCCAGAGACAUUUCUGUGCUAUGAGGGCACACAAACACCCCUGCAGUGACCCCAGGCUGUGUAUUCUGCUGGGACCCCCUGUUGGUUGGGGCUCCCCUUACUGAUCAUGGUGGUGCCUCCUGCCAGCGCUGCCCGGGUGCCCUGGGCGAAGCCGUCGGCCGGGCUCACGCCCGGGGCGAGCCCCUGCAGCCGCGUGUGCGCGUCGAUGCCGCCCGGCAUCACCAGCUGCCCGUGGGCGUCGAUGCUCCUGGUGCCCCCCGGAACCAGCAGGUUCUCUCCGAUCUGCCUGCAAAGGAAACCAGCACUCCCCUGAGCGGGCAGCAGCUCUGAAGGGAGGGAGCCCAAGGAGCCC
rnacentral:lncRNA from 1 species